AUUCAGAUACGCUGGUUUUGCAUUCCAGUCUUGAAGCCAGUUAUAGGCUAUGAAUU
rnacentral:tRNA from 1 species